rnacentral:rRNA from 1 species
UACGGGGGGGCAAGCGUUGUUCGGAAUUACUGGGCGUAAAGGGCUCGUAGGUGGCCAACUAAGUCAGACGUGAAAUCCCUCGGCUUAACCGGGGAACUGCGUCUGAUACUGGAUGGCUAGAGUUUGGGAGAGGGAUGCGGAAUUCCAGGUGGUGACGGUGAAAUGCGUAGAUAUCUGGAGGAACACCGGUGGCGAAGGCGGCAUCCUGGACCAACACUGGACGCUGACGGAGCGAAAGCCAGGGGAGCAAACGGG